rnacentral:rRNA from 1 species
UACGUAGGGGGCUAGCGUUGUCCGGAUUUAUUGGGCGUAAAGAGCGUGUAGGCGGCCAGGUAGGUCUGGUGUGAAAACUCGAGGCUUAACCUCGAGAUGUCAUCGGAAACCAUCUGGCUAGAGUCCGGAAGAGGAGAGUGGAAUUCCUGGUGUAGCGGUGAAAUGCGCAGAUAUCAGGAAGAACACCCGUGGCGAAGGCGGCUUUCUGGGACGGUACUGACGCUGAGACGCGAAAGCGUGGGGAGCGAACAGG